GGCGGCGGCGGUGGCGGCGACGGCGGCGACGGUCUGCGCGGCGCGUGCUUCUCUCCCUUUGGCUUACAGCAUCCGCCGGCGGAGAGCUUCUCCUCUCUCCGCCUACGCCGCGGCCGGCUCGUGUGCGCGAGAGAGCGGUGCGAGAGAGUGGUGAGCGCCGUGUGUGCGCCAGUGCGCCCGCAAGCCCGCAAGUUCGCGCUCUGCCACGCAGCCCAAGCUCUCUCUAGCCGCGCGCUCAUCGGCCACGUUCAUCAGCCGGGCCCCACGCGAAAAGAGACGAGCACCCCGGGGGCCGCCCUCGUUGUUCCUUCUCAUCCUCGUCCACGUCGUUUAUCGUAAUCGUACACGUCGCGCGAAAAAUCCUAUUUGUAUAUAUUGUUUCGGGAAAAGAAUAAAAAGAAAAAAAAAGAAAAAAGAGAAAAACGCAGCAACAGGAAGCAACAACUUUAGGAAAAAAAAGAAAGGGAGCGCAAAAAUAUUUAAAAAAAAAAAGAAGAGGAAAAGGAGUAAAACGAUACACGCGUACGAUAAGUCAACGGGAAAAAAUUAAAAGGAAGAAGAAGAAGAAGAAGAAGAAGAAGAAAGAAGAAUCCAAAUCAAAAGAACGUAUUGGUACAUACAAGUUUAGGCCCAAAAUUGUAUUUAAAAAAUAUUUAUCGCAAGAAAAAAGAAUACCAUAUGAAAGAAGGAUAAGAGGAAAAAGCGACGAACGGACAACGAUUACAACUUUUUUCUGGACGAGAAAGAAAUAGGUUCUUUCGAAAAGGACGCCGUCUCCGGGGGAGAAAAACUCGACCGAGAAGCGCGCGCGCGCCACUUCUACGAAACACUUUUUUCUUUGGUCGUCUCACGGAAGCGAGCACGGAUUGCUUCCGGCGCAUCUCUUCUGAUACACCUUACACGUUCUCGUUAUCUUUGGCAUAUCGAACGACGACGACACUUACCGAUGAAGGAGGACAGAGAGAGAGGAGAUCCCGACACGUUGUGCACCGGUCUGUGAUUUUCGUAUUCUCGUGACAGCCUCGACAACAGCUCGCCUUCUUCGGAUCGACGCGAAAGAUAGAUUGACGAAUGACGCCGUAACCGUGGGCUGGUUGGUGCUCGGAUAUCAGAACACGGAAGGGGACAACAUCUUUCACACCGCCACGACAACGUUCACCGUUCAAACAAGCCGUUCGUUCCGUCGUGCUCGUCUCCGAUGCAAAAAGAAAUUUACUCGGUAGUAAGUACACUGUAUGGAAAACGAAAAGAAGGAGGAGGAGGAGGAGAAGGAGGAGGAGAAAUUCGUCCUCCAUCGGCGGAGUGCUACUUAGAGAAAUCAGAGCGACGUACCAUGAUAGUGGCGGCAUGUCGUCGUCGUCGUCGUCGUCGUCGUCGUCGUCGUCGUCGUCGUCGUGCUACUUACGUCCUCCUUUCCGGCCGGAGGGCCGAGUGACGACGGCCGUGCUUGAAAAGGAAGAAAGGAGGAGAGAGUGCGAAAGAAAACGACGUAAUAUGCUCGAGUGGUGCGAAGUGACGAUUGUCCCUUUCUUCGCGCACGAGGCGCGUCUUCCGACACCCCCAACCCUCACUACCCAUCUCUUUCUCGUUCUCUAUUUCGCUCUUUCUCACGGUCCGGCAACUUUAUUAGCCACCUUCGCCUCAUUCCUUCAUGCCUUCCUUCCUUCCUUUCUUUCUUUCUUUCUUUUCAAUUUCCCCGAGUGAAGCCUUUCUACUUAGGUAUAUCGUGCCGUACUCGCGGAAAGACAUGAGAAACGUUGAAUCAAGUGUCCCGAGAUCUGCUCCUUCUUGCGUUAAGUGUACUCGUGAGACCCUUUCUCCUUGCGAGACAACUUAGUAUAUUUCGACUGUGUCGAUUUUUUAUAAAUCGAUAUGUUUUAUCUAAUCUUCUUAUCUUUUACAUUUUUAUUAUUUACAUUGAAACUUCAUAGAUACAAUAUAUGUGCGUAUAUAAUAAUAUUAUAAUAGAUUGCGUUAAUAAGAUUUUGUUAUAUUUUAGAUCUUCUAGAUUUUAUAUAACAUUUAUAUAUAUAUAUACAUAGAGAAAGAGAGAGAAAGAGAGACAGAGAGAGAGAGAGAGAGAGAGAGAGAGAGAGAGAGAGAGAGAGAGAGAGCAACUCACUCCCCUAUUAUAAAAUCCAGUAUAUAAUAUAAUACAUUUCUGUAAUAAUUAUGCAUCGAGAGAGGUAAUCUGCUGAUGAAACGAAUACUCGCUCACGCUUCUACGAUCGCGAGGUAUGCAUGUUAGAAUAGGAAACUCAGCAGGACAUGCUUCCUCCGAACGAGUCUAUACAUCAUCUCUCUUUCCCUUCGGUCUCUUUAAAAACAAUAUAAUUUUUUUUUCUUUUUUGUUUUCGCGUCACGUAGGUGCUCCGAAGCGCGACAAAUAGAGACAGGAAACGCGUGUCCACUGGACCAGGUAUCCUUACUGGAAGCUUCCACUUUCACGCAGAGGAAAUGAGCUCUCGCUUCUUCCGUUCCUAUACCUAGGGAAAAAUGGUUACAAGGGUGCGUCGCACGACGACGCAAACGCACACGCGUGCGCGCACGUGCUACGUAUGCACACAUACAUGUAUGCACGCAUACAACUCUCUUCGUAGACGCGAAUAAAAAGCGAACGAAAAUAGCCGAUUCGCCCUGGUACGGCUCGAAUUUUUCACUCGACCGGCCAUAUAAAAUUACUUCGCUGCAUUAAGCGAACUGACUAACUUUAAAAUAACGCGAGCCUUGUGUAUCGUGUUUCGCGACAGAACGGAGGAAGAGAGAUAGAGAGAGAUAGAGAGAGAGAGAGAGAAAGAAGAAGUGGGGGGUAAAAUAGGUUGCAGCUAGAAAGCGUAGCAUGCAUGUCCAGAAAUAAAAAAAAAAAGGAAGGAACUAAAAAAUACAUUAAUAUGUUUCGCUUUACGUUCAAGCAAGGAUUGAAAACUGAUCAUGAGAAAAGGAAAAAAGGAAGAAAAAUAUUAUCAAACGAAGAGUCAAAUAUAAAAAUGAUUGGAUUAAAAUGAAAAUGAAAAUGAAAAUGAAGAGAAACGAGAAAGAAAAAAAAGAGAGAGAGAGAGAAAGGAAAAAGAAAAGGGAAGAGAGAAAGAAAAGCGAGGGAAAAGAUUUGAGUAACAUCUCUUUUCGAUUUUUGGUCGAGAUGAAGAUCGAUAAGGCUUAUCGAGACGAGCAUACGAAGCGUAGAAGAAAGAGAGAGAGAGAGAGAGAGAGAGAGAGAAUAAAAGAGAGGUAAAGGGAGUGGGGAAAUGGUCAAGGGACCGAUGAGUUCGACGGAGCGAGUAGACUUAACUGGAAGCUUCCACGUUCGUAGAGGAAACGCGUCCGUCCUUCCUUCCGUUCUUCCGUGUGUCGGAGAGAAAAGGGAGAAAGAGUGCGAUGGAUAUCGAAAAGCAUCGAUGUGCAU